UCAAAAUGUAGGUCUGGGUCUUGUGAUUCUCACAAUAUAAAGCUCUUCGCUGUAGGAUUUAUAGUUUUUAAAAUAUGACCGUUUGAAGAUGGCAACCGCCAAAAUACUCUGACCUGUGCCAGGCUGCAGCAGCAAGUGAUGUCAUAGACAGGGCCUUUUGAACACCUGCUAAUGUUUUUAUAAAUGUAUGGUUUAAUGUAACUGUGCAACAACGUUGCAAUUAAAUGUGCUAUAUAAAUGAUAACAGUUACUCCGCCCACUCCAGUUGUAGAC
rnacentral:lncRNA from 1 species